rnacentral:tRNA from 1 species
CGCGGUGUGGAGCAGUUCGGUAGCUCGCCAGGCUCAUAACCUGGAGGUCACAGGUUCAAAUCCUGUCGCCGCAA